AGCAGCCGCGGUAAUUCCAGCUCCAAUAGCGUAUAUUAAAGUUGUUGCAGUUAAAAAGCUCGUAGUUGAAUUUCGGGGUUAGUAGGUUGGUCAUGCCUCUGGUAUGUACUGGUCUCACUGAUUCCUCCUUCCUGAUGAACCUUAAUGCCAUUUAUUUGGUGUUUUGGGGAAUUUGGACUGUUACUUUGAAAAAUUAGAGUGUUUAAAGCAAGCUAACGCUUGAAUACAUUAGCAUGGAAUAAUGAAAUAGGACGUUCGAUCCUAUUUUGUUGGUUUCUAGGAUUGACGUAAUGAUUAAUAGGGAUAGUUGGGGGCAUUAGUAUUCAAUUGUCAGAGGUGAAAUUCUUGGAUUUAUUGAAGACUAACUACUGCGAAAGCAUUUGCCAAGGAUGUUUUCAUUAAUCAAGAACGAAAGUUAGGGAUCGAAGACGAUCAGAUACCGUCGUAGUCUUAACCAUAAACUAUGCCGACUAGGGAUCGGAUGAUGUUUAAUUUUUUAAUGACUCAUUCGGCGCCUUAC
rnacentral:misc_RNA from 1 species